rnacentral:tRNA from 1 species
AGCAAUAUAAUGUAAUAAGGUAAACAUAUAAGAUUCAUAAUCUUAAAAUAAUAGUUCAAAUCUAUUUAUUGCAU